rnacentral:sRNA from 1 species
CUCUCCGGCCGCGCAGCCGCUGCCGCCCACCCACACCCGCCGUCAUGCUCCGGGCAGCGCUGCCCGCGCUCCUGCUGCCGGUGCUGGGCCUCGCCGCUGCUGCCGUCGCGGACUGUCCUUCAUCUACUUGGAUUCAGUUCCAAGACAGUUGUUACAUUUUUCUCCAAGAAGCCAUCAAAGUAGAAAGCAUAGAGGACGUCAGGAAUCAGUGUACUGAUCAUGGCUGGAGUGCAGUGGUGUGAUCUCAGCUCAUUGCAACCUCUACCUCCUGGGUUCAAGCAAUUCUCCUGCCUCAGCCUCCUGAGUAGCUGGGAUUACAGGAGCGGACAUGAUAAGCAUACAUAAUGAAGAAGAAAAUGCUUUUAUACUGGAUACUUUGAAAAAGCAAUGGAAAGGCCCAGAUGAUAUCCUACUAGGCAUGUUUUAUGACACAGAUGAUGCGAGUUUCAAGUGGUUUGAUAAUUCAAAUAUGACAUUUGAUAAGUGGACAGACCAAGAUGAUGAUGAGGAUUUAGUUGACACCUGUGCUUUUCUGCACAUCAAGACAGGUGAAUGGAAAAAAGGAAAUUGUGAAGUUUCUUCUGUGGAAGGAACACUAUGCAAAACAGCUAUCCCAUACAAAAGGAAAUAUUUAUCAGAUAACCACAUUUUAAUAUCAGCAUUGGUGAUUGCUAGCACGGUAAUUUUGACAGUUUUGGGAGCAAUCAUUUGGUUCCUGUACAAAAAACAUUCUGAUUCUCCUUUCACCACAGUUUUUUCAACUGCACCCCAAUCACCUUAUAAUGAAGACUGUGUUUUGGUAGUUGGAGAAGAAAAUGAAUAUCCUGUUCAAUUUGACUAAGUUUUUGGUAAUCCUGCACUAAGACAUCAACAAAUGCCCUGGCAGAGAUAACUUGGGAAAGAUUUUAAUAUAAAAUUUGACAUUGGAUAUUAGAGCUUUAAUGGUAUUCCUUAUUCCAGUAACAUUUUUAUGUACUCAUCUGUUGUGAAGAGUCUUUAGGUUCAUUAAAAAAACAGGUUUUAGAAAUGAUCUUAGAUCUAACAAACAUAGUGAUUUUAAGCAUCCUGUCAAAGGCAGAAUCUGUGACUUGAAUGAAGGAAAGCUUAAAGCCCAAGAGGCAGAUAAAAAUAAAAGCCCAGCCUAUUUGUCUUGCCUGCUGUAUCUUCCCUUCUAUUUAGUUGACCCACUUCAGUUUAUACGUUUAUUAGUAAACAUGAAAUGGGGAAUAAGUUAUUUUAAGUACAUCCCAUACAUUUAAAUAUCUUUGAUAAUUGUUUUUUGGCAGAUAAUUCCUCUAGAAUGUGUAUCUCCUUUUAUGAUUUAGAUGAAGAAAAUUUGACAACUUUUAACACUCCACACCAAUUUUAGUUUCAUUACUUUUACACACACCAUUUUAUCACAAAUGACUCAAGUUUUAAUGAAUGUUUAUAAAUCUUUUGAAACAAAAUAUGAUCGCUGUGUCCAGGAUGGCAUACAGAAAGCUUGCAAUUAGGUUAACACACUUACAUAUUAUAGUGCCCCUUUAAGGAUUUCUCUCUUGCCACCAUACCGUUCUUACCUUCCCCUAUACAAGAUAUAUCUCAUUCUCCUCAAGCAUUUAUAAAUUUUUCCUUCAAUGACAUGAAAACUGUGUAAGCAAAAACUGAAGAAAAACACUAAGUACAACUGUAGUGACAAUGAUCAAAGUUUUCAGUGCAUUUAUUGUACAUUUUAAGAAAAAGGUGAAAAUCAUUUGGGGAGUAAAAAAAUGAAAAAGCUGAAACGAGUGAUUUUCCUCACCAUCAUCAAUAAACCAAAAACAGGAAAGAUAAAGAAUGUAUAAAUUUCAUGUAAAUCAGUCAUGUAUCACUUAUCAAUGGGGAUACGUUCUAAGAAAUGCAUAGUUAGGAAAUCUUGUGUGAAAAUCAGCUUGUAUUUACACAAACCCAGAUGGUAGAGCCUAUUUUGUCCCAAACCUACACAGCAUGUUACUGUGCUGAAUACUGCAGACAACUGUAACACAAUAUUUGUGUAUCUAAAUAUAGAAAAGGUACAGUAAAAAUAUGGUCUACUAAGGAAACACUGUUCUAUAUGUGGUCCAUUACUGACUGAAGUAUACUGUCUGUCUAGAAGUCUGAAGCUCAAAGAAAAGUAAUCCCUCUUCUGAAUCCACACCCCAUCAAUUACCUUACUUUCUUAUGGGGAGAUAUACUAUCUCACUAGCUUGACUAAUGGCAACAAAGUCCUAGCUUAUGUAAUCUCCUUUUAUUGACCACAUGAAUCGAAAACACUCAUCACAAUUAACGGCACUAUCAUUAAUAAGACAUGAGUAACUAAAAAGUGACAGAAAACUAUUAACAGUGCGGCUACAUGGUACUGAAAAUGCAGGCAUUACACCAGCUGUUACACAAGCACAAGCAUGCUCUUUAAGAGCUUUACAUUUCUGAGAUUUUGUGUAGUGAUUGAGAUGUCUAUUUUAUUAUUGAUGAUAGACUAUUACUAAUGUCAAUAUUGAACACUACCCUGGAAUUCCUGCCUGGUUUUCCUAACCAAAUUGUACCUCUCCUUGAAGAACUACAGGCACAGUAAAAAAAAUAUGGCGUAUUAUGUGAACUAAAAGAGUUCUAACGGAGUUCUUAAAGGAGUGGUAGAAUUUGGGUAGGAAAAUUUGGGUAGAAAAGUGAUUAAGUCCAACCUAAAACCAACAGCCUCAAACGUCUACAACUACAAUAUCCAAUGUCCAAUGAGCCACUAGCCACAUGAGGCUAUUUAAGUAAAUUUAGUUUAAAAUCCAGUUUCCCAAUUACAUUAGCCACAUUGUCAAGUGUUCAAAUCACAGGUGGUUAGUGGCUACUGUACUGGGCAAUAUACAUUAUAGAACAUUUUCAUUAUAGGAAGUUUUAUUGGGCAGUGCUGCUCUUAAAUCCUACCUUCCACUCAACUCCCAUACAACUAACUUUCUUUUGUACAUUUUGAUACUUUCUACCUAAUGGCAGCUCUUCCAAAAUAGCUGUUUUAAACUAUGAUUUAAUUUUCAAUAUUUGGUUUCAUUUUUCAACAGGCCAAGAGGCCUCUGGUAAUGAAGUGCUAUAUAUAUAUGACGGAGUCUCACUGUGUUGCCCAGGCUAGAGUGCAGUGGCUCUAUCUUGGCUCUCUCCAAUCUCUGCCUUGCAGGUUUUCAAGCAAUUCUCCUGCCUCAGCCUCCUUAGUAGCUGGGACCACAGACAUCUGCCACCACACCCAGCUAACUUUUUGUAUUUUUGGUAGAGACGGGGUUUCGCCAUAUUGACUGGGCUAGUCUCAAACUCCUGACCUCAAGUGAUCCACCCACCUUGGUCUCCCAAAGUGCUGGGAUUACAUGCGUGAGCCACCACACUUGGCCUACAUUUUUUCUUUAUAUACCAGAACAUCUAUAACAGGCACCUUAUCUACUCAUUAGUCAAGAGAUAAUUGGAUUACACAGGCAGGCUUGUUUACUACAUUCAGAAUGUAGAAACUGCUUUCUCCAACAUCUUGGUUCUAGCUAGUAAUAACAAUAUAAUUCUUUGGCAGAUAUUUAGAAUAACAUUUUAAACUACAUUUUCUUAGAAAAUUGCAUUCUUGUAGUGAGCAGUGUAUGGUCUCUUUUGUUCAGAAUUUAAAACUGAUAACCAAUGAAAGCCUUUUCUCUUAUUCCUCUACUGUCAUUUACAUGAUAAUCUGAAGCGAAUAUGACAAUAUUUAAAUACUAAGUGGUACUAGGGAACUACAAGAAUACUGUAAAGCUUAAGCCAUUGUUAUCACUGUCAUUUAAUAUUUAAUAACAAAACUAUACAGAAUUAUCUUAUAUGCAUACCAAUGAAUGUUUUGUACUAUCUAGUUAAAUUUUUUAAAUAAAGUUUUAUGGGUUAAGCAG